GAUGAACGCUGGCGGCGUGCUUAACACAUGCAAGUCGAACGGUGAAGCAGGAACUUGCUCUUGUGGACCAGUGGCGAACGGGUGAGUAACACGUGAGCAACCUGCCCCUGACUCUGGGGUAAGCGCUGGAAACGGCGUCUAAUACUGGAUAUGUGAUGUGACCGCAUGGUCUGUAUCUGGAAAGAAUUUCGGUUGGGGAUGGGCUCGCGGCCUAUCAGCUGGUUGGUGAGGUAAUGGCUCACCAAGCCGUCGACGGGUAGCCGGCCUGAGAGGGUGGCCGGCCACACUGUGACUGAGACACGGCCCAGACUCCUACGGGAGGCAGCAGUGGGGAAUAUUGCACAAUGGGCGGAAGCCUCAUGCAGCAACGCCGCGUGAGGGAUGACGGCCUUCGGGUUGUAAACCUCUUUUAGCAGGGAAGAAGCGAGAGUGCCGGUACCUGCAGAAAAAGCACCGGCUAACUACGUGCCAGCAGCCGCAGUAA
rnacentral:rRNA from 1 species